GAUGAACGCUGACAGAAUGCUUAACACAUGCAAGUCAACUUGAACUCCGGUUUGGGUGGCGGACGGGUGAGUAACGCGUAAAGAACUUGCCUCACAGUUAGGGACAACAUUUGGAAACGAAUGCUAAUACCUGAUAUUAUGAUUUUAGGGCAUCCUAGAAUUAUGAAAGCUAUAUGCGCUGUGAGAGAGCUUUGCGUCCCAUUAGCUAGUUGGAGAGGUAACGGCUCACCAAGGCGAUGAUGGGUAGCCGGCCUGAGAGGGUGAACGGCCACAAGGGGACUGAGACACGGCCCUUACUCCUACGGGAGGCAGCAGUGGGGAAUAUUGGACAAUGGACCAAGAGUCUGAUCCAGCAAUUCUGUGUGCACGAUGAAGUUUUUCGGAAUGUAAAGUGCUUUCAGUUGGGAAGAAAAAAAUGACGAUACCAACAGAGGAAGUGACGGCUAAAUACGUG
rnacentral:rRNA from 1 species